rfam:Schistosoma rodhaini strain Burundi genome assembly, scaffold: SROB_scaffold0003356
AUCCAGCUGACGAGUCCUGAAUAGAACGGAACGCGCGUCCUGGAU